GAUGAACGCUGGCGGCGUGCCUAAUACAUGCAAGUCGAGCGAACGGACGAGAAGCUUGCUUCUCUGAUGUUAGCGGCGGACGGGUGAGUAACACGUGGAUAACCUACCUAUAAGACUGGGAUAACUUCGGGAAACCGGAGCUAAUACCGGAUAAUAUUUUGAACCGCAUGGUUCAAAAGUGAAAGACGGUCUUGCUGUCACUUAUAGAUGGAUCCGCGCUGCAUUAGCUAGUUGGUAAGGUAACGGCUUACCAAGGCAACGAUGCAUAGCCGACCUGAGAGGGUGAUCGCCCACACUGGAACUGCGACACGGUCCAGACUCCUACGGGAGGCCGCAGUAGGGAAUCUUCCGCAAUGGGCGAAAGCCUGACGGAGCAACGCCGCGUGAGUGAUGAAGGUCUUCGGAUCGUAAAACUCUGUUAUUAGGGAAGAACAAAUGUGUAAGUAACUAUGCACGUCUUGACGGUACCUAAUCAGAAAGCCACGGCUAACUACGUG
rnacentral:rRNA from 1 species